rnacentral:lncRNA from 1 species
UAUAAUUAGCUUAAGGUUUUAGUAUUUCAAAUAUGCGUAUUCUGCUCUUUUUAUCGCAUACCCAAAGUACAUUGUCUUUACAUGCUACACACGAAGGACUUUCCAAAUCGUUUGUUUCAUCGACAACUUUCUCGGCGUGACAAGUAUCUGCACUAAUGGCGAAAAUGCAGUUAUUCAUUAAAUCUGCAACUGUUGCAACAUUUAAAAGUUCACAGAAGUAAAUGGUACUUGGUUUUGAUUUGUUUGAUAACUUAAAAGUUUGACAGACGUCAAACUUGAAUACCAGUUGUCCAUCUUGUGUGUCAAAAACGAUCACUUGACAGCUGCCUGGAUCUGC